rnacentral:rRNA from 1 species
GAUGAACGCUGGCGGCGUGCCUAAUACAUGCAAGUCGAGCGAACGGACGAGAAGCUUUCUUCCCUGAUGUUAUCGGCGGACGGGUGAGUCCCACGUGGAUAACCUACCUAUACGACUGGGAUAACUUCGGGAAACCGGAGCUAAUACCGGAUGAUAUUUUGAACCUCAUUGUUCAAACGUGAAAGACGGUCUUUCUGUCACUUAUAGAUUGAUCCGCGCUGCAUUAGCUAGUUGGGAAGGUAACGGCUUAACAAGGCAGCGAUGCAUAGCCGACCUGAGAGGGUGAUCGCCCAGACUGGAACUGAGACACGGUCCAGACACCGACAGGAGGCAGCAGUAGGGAAUCUUCCGCAAGGGGCGAAAGCGUAAUGGAGGAACGCCGCGGGAGUGAUGAAGGUCUACGGAUCGGAGAACUCUGUUAGUAGGAAAGAACAUAUGUGUAAUUAACUGUGCACAUCUUGACGGUACCGAAUCAAAAAGCCACGGCUAACUACGUG